GUGUGCGCGCGCGCGUGCGCGUCAACUGGGGGGCUGCUUUUGUGUGUGUCAGCGGGGUAGCCAAGGAUCCAGGGGGAGGCCAGAAAGGGCUGGGGGGCCAGGGCAGGAUUCGCAAGCCUCUGAACUCCGGGACCUCUCUUUAGAUCUACCCGGGAGACUCUAGGCAGUGUAGAGCAACGGCCUGCAUCUGGAUGACAGAUCAUCCCUACUGCUGGGGACAUUCCCAGCCUUGGUUUGAAUACAUUCAGGCAGAGAUGGGGAACUCACCACCUCUGGAGAAAGCCUGUUCCACUGGGCUAAAGCUCUCAGCUUCCAGCAUUUCCCUAACAUCCAACACACCUCUUAUCUCCCUGAGGCACCUCCCCACCGCCCAUCCUUCAAAGCUGACCCUCCAGCUUGGGGUUAGAGUUUGAGGUGGCCCAGUUCCCACGAGAGAACAGGCUAGGGGGUCUCAACAGGUUGGUUUGUGAACACACCCACUGCCCACUCGGGGAUUUCCGUCAUUCUAGCUCUCUCUUUGCCUUGCUUGUCCCCUCCUAGGGACACUGCUUGGGGGUGGGGGGAAAGUUUCCAAGAAGGAGGGACAAGGCUGCUGAGGAAUUCUCAAGCUAGAGGACUGGGGUUUCAGCCUUUGGGGUCCUUUCCCCUUCCAAAAGCUACAAGCCCUCUGAUGCCCUUCUGUUCUCCAGAACACCUGAUGAGAUGCUCUUUACACAAUGGAGAAUUAUGGAAAGUUUCUGAGCUGGAAACCACCCAGUGAGAAGGUUAAUCUGGCUUCAGCCUGAAGGAUGGGGCCAUAGGGAAUGCUGGCUAGGAGACUUGACUGGACAAAGAUUCCUAAGAGGUGGAGAGGUGGACAGUCUUAAUCCUUUGGAGGAGGGGAGGGAGAGCUGCAUAGUGAAGAUGGAGAUUUUUUAGACUGGUCCAGGGAUUUCAUUGCAGGAAACUCUCACUGCACAGUCAGCUACCUUGAAAUUUAGUCCUAGAGAGUUGCUUGAGGUGCUUAGAGGCUGAGGAAAUGGAGGAAUUAAUGAAUGAAUGGAAAAGAAUGAAAAACAUUUAUGGAACACUCAGGAUGUACUAAGCACUCAGCUAAGCACUGGGGACACAAAUGAGUCCCUUGCCCUCCAACAGCCCCUGUUCUAAUGGGGAAGACAAUGUUCUAAUGGGCAGUGGUGUGGUCUGGGGCACUUUGGUCUACAAAGUGAUUAGGAGUGGGGCUCAGUGGCAAAGUUGGUUUGAUCUUGACUCCAGAACUGGAGGGGCAAAUGGGGCAAUGAGGGAGGUUAUGGAUAUGGAAGAGGAGGAGACUGGGAAAUGGAGCCUGGCUGAUGCUUUCCUGCAAGAAUGUGCCCAGGCUUCUAUGGACGUUAUCAGACAGGCCUGGAAUCCAGGUCUUCCUGAGGCUGAGGCUAGCUCUGUGGCCACCACUCCUGCCACACAGCCUCUCUUUUAGGAUCAAAAUAAAGCAAACUUUCCUAUUAGAGCUGUCCAAAGGGGGGCCUGGGGAAAUAGGGUGUUUCCUGUCACCACUGGUUUUUUCAGGGGAAGUUGGAUAACUGACCACUUGUUGGUGAGUGUCAUGGUGAUUCUGAGACUAGCUAGCAAGGAAAGGCUAGUGAUCAGAAGACAACCAGGCUCCCAACUUGGCUAGUUUUGUAGGGUGGGGAGAUGAUGGAGAAGCUGGGGGAGGGGUCAUGCCAGGCCUAAAUGAAGCUGGAAUUUAGACAUAAUUCUGGAGGCAAUGGCCCUAUCAGGUUUCUGAGUCUGGGCACACAGCAUGAUCCAGUCUGGACUAGAGAUGAAUCUGUUAGUAUUCACACCAUUGUUUGGAAGCAAGGAGUCUAAUUAGGCCCAAUUUGCCAGGCUGGUCCUGGUAUGAUCUUGAGGAUGCAGAACUGAGGUGGUGUAGAUCUUGGGAAGAAGUGACUAAUCUGAGACAUAAGCCAAUCAACAAGCAUUUAUUAAGCACUGGCUGUGUGCCAGACACUGACUAAGGCUGGUAUUCUGAAACAUUUUGAAACUCUUCAUUGGCUCAGAGUCCCUGUGAGGCAUCAGACCACAGACCAGCACCAAGAGCAAGACUGGGGAGUGAGCUCAUCUGAAUGAAUCCUUUAUUCUGGAGCUGGAAGAUGGGAGGAGGAGAACCACCUAUCCUAGCCCUGAUCAUGGGCUGGCUCCUCCUCAGAAAAUUCAGAGAGGGGAGAAGGAGUCCGCUGGACAAAGGCUGAUGUGCCCCACCAACCAGUUAGGAGAAUAAAUCUCAAAGCAUUCAAAGAAAACAAGGAUGGCUGAUAAAGGUAAGGAAUUUUGCUGGGAAAGCCUAAACUCAAUUCCGGAUAACCUUGUUUAGAAAGUGUCCCCUGGGGGGAUGAGGGAGACAAAGAUAAAUCAAAAAGCAGUUCUUGUGCUCUUUGAGCCUGGAGUCCAGGGGCAGGGAGUGGAAGGAGGGAAAUGCAGCACAGGCAAAUAAGAGGAGAUGGAGAAUAGGAGAGGAACCUGGAAAGGGCUCCAGUUGGAGCCAAGGGAUUCUAUGAGGGGGAGGCCACAGGAGGGCCUGGGCAUAGGCAGGAAGGGGAGGAAAUGCUGAGGGGUAAGCAUGUGAAACAGCUGGGAAAGCUCAGCAGCAUCCUUGAGGAAAUGGAGAGCCCAGGCAGCAUCUCAGGCAGGGAAGUGUCACUGUCAGCCUGGAAUCCAGGAGUACAAUUAGCAGAUAAUUACCAGGUCCAGGUGAGAAGUAAGGCAGAGUGGUGAUGGCGGGGAGGCAUAGGAAGGCCUUGAGAAAAGGAAGUCACUUGAGAGAAAGUGUAGCAAGAAGACUAAUAUCAAGCCAUGGCCCAGAGACAAGCUCCCUACAGGGCUGGGGCAGAUGUUCAAGCCCUAAGGGGGGCCCAGAAGAACCAAGGACCAAAAAGAAAAGUCUCAGCUUGGUGGUUGAGGCUCUCCCUCAGCUGGCUGCCACCUAGCCUUCUGGGCUUAAUUUCACAAGACUCCCCUUCCUCACUGAGGCUCUCCAUUUCUACUCAGCACACCAUCCAGCAAAGAGGCCCCUAAUCUCACUAAAUCAUUACUUAGUGUUUACUUACCUACAAUGGUAUCUCCUGGAGGCUGAUGGGACAAGGUGGCUUUUGUCUCACUUUCCCAAAUACCUGGCCAGGUGCCUUAUAGUAGGGAGUGGACAUGUUUGUUGAACUGAAUAACUUUUGCACUUAGAAGGACAGGACAAUCAGGCAGCUACUACUGCCCCAGAUUCCUUCCCAGGCCUAGGCCCAGGAGAAAGGAAGAGACUGCUCAGGUCCUGAGAUAACUGGCACAAUGAGUCAGUGAGUCAGAGGGGUGGACGAAGCACCUACUACAUUCCAAGCCCAGUGAUAUAUUCUGGGAAUCCAAAGAAAAAGCAAAAUCUGUCCCUGCCCUCAAAGGCAUCCCAUUCUAAUGGGGGAAGAGAAGUUUUCCUGGGCCACUGACUAGAAAGCUGGCCUCAGGGCAACAGAGACCCAGGUUCAGCUCUCCUCUCUGACAUCUACUGGUUAUGACUCUGGGCAGAUCAGGGCUCAGUUAGCACCAGACAACUAGAAGGUGAGACCUGCAUUGGCAGAGAGAGGAGUUUCCAAUAUAGGACAAUGACCAUACAAGCCCACUCCUCAAUUAAGGAGCAAUGCAGACCACCAGCCUUCCUGCUUCACUCUGUCAUACCCCAGAGUGUUCUUUCUCAUGAACCUCUUCCUUUUGGGUGUUGUCUCCCCCAUGACAUGGUAAGCUCCCUGAAGGCAAGGGUUCUUUUUAGUAUCAAUUUCCAGUGCUGGGCACACAGUAGACACCUAAAAUGUUUACUGACGGACUCCCUAACCCUACAUACAAAGUUGACACCAGGAGGGAAUACAAGCAGCAGCCAAGAAACUUGGAAAGACUUCCUGAAGAAGGGGAAAUUUGAGCUGAAUCUUGAAUGACAAGAGGAGGGAAAAUAUUCCAUGUACAGGGGACAACCUAGACAAAGGUGCAGUCAGGAACUGUUGGGCUGUGUGUGUGUAUAGCACAGGCAGGUAGCAAGCCAAGGUGGUGGGAGCCACAGAGGGGUGGGUGUUUGAUCCUAAGACCCUUGGGGCUGACCAAGUGGCAGUAGUAGAGGGGGGCGGGGGUGAAGGGAGAAUGACAGGGUCAGACCUGCCCUUUGGAGGCUGAAUUCAAGAAGGAAUGGAGUGGAGAGUGAAGGGGGCAGGGUUGGAGGUGAUAAAGGUGGUAGUGGUACCAGAGGACAGAAGGGGCCCUUAUGAAGGCAGAAUCAACAGAUCUUGGCAAUAGACUAGAUGUGAGGGGAGGGCUAAGAGAGAAUAAGGAGUCAAAGAUUACAAAGAUUAAGAAGAUAGCCAAGCCUGAGGACCUGCAUGACUGAGAGGCUGGUGAUGCCCUGCACAGUCAUAAGGACACUGGGCAUUUGGGAGGGCUGGAGGGGAAAGAUAAUGAGUUUUAGAUGGGACUUAUUGAAUGGGAGAUGCAGAAAGGGGGGGAGAUAGGGGUUUGAACCCCAGAAGGCUUCAGAUGGCAUCACCAAGGCAGUUGGUGAUGAGAUGGGCUGUCAGGAGAAGUUUGGGCCGGAUCAUUCAAAUGGUUUGUAAUGUCUAACUUCAUCCAGAACAAGUCCUGCUGGGUCAUCUUUAACAGGGUUAUUAAGUACGUAUGCCGUGGCUCCUUCCCAAAAGCAUGCUAGGAGCAUAAAACAAAACACAGGGUUCCAAAGGAAGCUCAUCCUCUGAAAAGAAUUAUCAGGAGAUGUUCAACAAACCAAGAUCCCAGACUUGAGGUUAUCCAGGUUCUCUGACCCUGACAUUCCCUGCUCAACAAACUGCUGUGGCGCCUCCUGACUCCAGGAGUAUCCUAAACUCUUCUUGGUGGCCUUUAAGCCCCUCACCACCUGUCCUUCCACCCCAGCGGGCGGUGGCACCGCCUUCCUUUCUGUCCCUCGCAGAGGACCUCUUCGAGGCCUUGGCAUCGUCUACCCACGUGCCUGGAAUGCUCUUCUUCCUCCUCUUUCUCCCCGCCCCCCACCCGACCGCCGCCUCCUUCAAGAGGCAGAGGCUGGGCUAACUGCAGCAGCACCAAAGAGGGGGAUGGAGGGUACUGCUUACGAGACUCCUUCCACUCCUACUCGGCAUCCAUCUAUGGCAUGGC